CAGCCGCCGCGGGAAUACAGAGGGUGCAAGCGUUAAUCGGAAUUACUGGGCGUAAAGCGCGCGUAGGUGGUUUGUUAAGUUGGAUGUGAAAUCCCCGGGCUCAACCUGGGAACUGCAUCCAAAACUGGCAGGCUAGAGUAGGGCAGAGGGUGGUGGAAUUUCCUGUGUAGCGGUGAAAUGCGUAGAUAUAGGAAGGAACACCAGUGGCGAAGGCGACCACCUGGGCUCAUACUGACACUGAGGUGCGAAAGCGUGGGGAGCAAACAGGAUUAGAUACCCCUGUAGUCCCUGUCUCUUAUAA
rnacentral:rRNA from 1 species